rnacentral:tRNA from 1 species
GUUUCUAUGGUGUAAAAAUGCACAUUAGAUUUUCAUUCUAAAGGAAUAAAUUUAGUUUAUUAGAAAUA